rnacentral:rRNA from 1 species
GACGAACCGUGCGAACGUUAUUCGGAAUCACUGGGCUUAAAGCGCGUGUAGGCGGGCCGGCACGUCGGUCGCUGAAAUCCCCCGGCUCAACCGGGGAAGGGGCGCCGAUACGACCGGCCUGGAGGGGCGUAGGGGGACCGGGAACUUCCGGUGGAGCGGUGAAAUGCGUUGAGAUCGGAAGGAACGCCCGUGGCGAAAGCGCGGUCCUGGACGCCUGCUGACGCUGAGACGCGAAAGCCAGGGGAGCGAACAGG